CGUCUUCUUCGUUCUUCAAUGUUUGCUCCAAGGAUCCAUCAUCAACUACUGCUCACAUCCAAAGGAUUGGAUGAUCAUCGCAAGGGGAAGGCAAUCACAAACAACAGACAGUGCAAGGGUAAGCUAGUAUUCAAAACCAUACAAAUUCAGUACAUUUUUAAUAGACAGCGUAUAUAAACAACCGCAAAUCAAACAUAUAAUUUCCUAAUUGACCUAGACUCGUCCGGACUAAGAAUGUAUAUAGAGCUGGGGCGGGUUGUGCACUUGUGGUGGCCUCUACUGCUUUGCAAAGCCAUUGCCGAGGGGUUUCACCCGACCACACACAAGGCUAGUCCGUUACCGCGGAAUAGACCUCCAGUGAUAGCGCCUACCCUAGGACCUCCCACUNNNNNNNNNNNNNNNNNNNNNNNNNNNNNNNNNNNNNNNNNNNNNNNNNNUCACUCCACCAAUUCAUAUUGAAUAAAUCUUUCAAUCUCAUUCAGAAGCAUAUUAAUUCACACAUAAUUCAUACCUCAAAGAUCAUUCAAGUAAUCAUACAAUCUCAUUCAAAAGCAUAAUAAAACAUAUAUAACUCAUACAUUACAUAUCUUCAAAGAAACAUCAUUUANUAAUACUCAUUUCUUUAUCAAUUAUAAUUACCUAUACUUAAGUAAUUCAAACAGCUUGGAGACCCUCACCAAUGGAUCCGGAAGGGUCAAAAACCCCCAGAACGACAUAAAGAACGUCCAAAACGGANGUCNAGAGCUCNCAAAACNUCAAAAACAUCAAAAAUACACAACCUGUCGCAGAAAAUUCGCUGAGCGCACACCCUGUGGUGCGCUGAGCGAAUUUUGUCUGCCAAAAGUCAUUCGCAGAGCGCACAGGGUGCGCUGUGCGACUCUGCAUAAUCUGCAGAGNGAAUUUCUGCAGAUUUUAGGAACUCACACACCCAGAAUUUGUUCUAGGCCAAAUUAUGAACUUUGGAUGAUCCUAACUCGACCUCUAUGAUGUUUUAGACUUGUCUAGAUGUUUCUAAUCUAUCCUAACACAAUUCUCUAGCUGAUAUGCAUGGAUUUACCUCCUAAAAUUUCAAUUUCAUGAACCUAAGGGUCCAAUUCUGAUUUUACCAAUUCCAAGUUAAUUCAGACCAAUUUGGCACUUGUUAUAAGUCAUAUGUGACUUGUCUAAAGGUUCUAAACUGACCAAAACAGUAUAUCCUACCAUAUUCAAAUUAUAGCUACUCUAGUUCCUUUAAUUAAGCCUAAAAUGCCUAAAUCACUAAAUCUUUUACCUAUUAUUCUAGACAGCUGAAUUUUAUUCAUCAUUGUUCAAAAUUUUGCAUUCCAUCUAUUAUAUCCAAUCUAAUACACAAUCAUUCAUCAUGAAUCAAAGGUAUAUUUCUCAUCCCACAGUACAAACAGUUUCAUAUACAGGAACGGGGUUCAAACACCACAAUUGGAAAAUAACCUCUUUACACACAUGCAAUAAAAUUUCACAUAACUAUGAUACAUUUCUACAAUCAAACAAUUGCAAUACACUCAAUACUAGCUCCCCUUACCUCAAUGCAACAGCAGAUUCUCCAAGGAGCUCUAUCGUACGCGAUACCAGAAGAUAUUGCUAGAAUUACCUAAGGAUUCAAGAAUUGGGAAAUUGAGGAGAAAUUCAGAACCUAUUUGAAACUAGAAAUUGUAAGAAAAUGCUAAGAAUCACAUGCAUCAAGGACCAAGGAUUGAUCAAGACCCUAGAGUUGUACUAAGAAAGGAAUUAUACUUACCCAUUAAAGAACAAGAAAUUCAAUCGGCCUAGAACGUAGCUUUUAGCUCCAGGAACGCUCAGGAACUUUCUGAUCAGAAAUUGAAUGAUCCAGUUUAGAUUUAGUGUAGUGAGAAGGCAGAGGAUUUUGGGGUAUUUUGUUUCUAGAGAGAGAAUCAGUUUUUCUGGAAUUGAAGUAGAAAGGGUUUUUAAAAGUUUAUUUUAUAUAUUAGGAUAAAAAAAAUUGAGGUCAUUACAAU
rnacentral:lncRNA from 1 species